rnacentral:rRNA from 1 species
CUCAGGAUGAACGCUAGCGGCAGGCUUAACACAUGCAAGUCGAGGGGCAGCGGGAUGUAGCAAUACAUUGCCGGCGACCGGCGGAUGGGUGCGUAACGCGUAUGCAACCUACCUUAUACAGGGGAAUAACCUUUCGAAAGGGAGACUAACACCCCAUAGUAUUGAUUUAAGGCAUCUUAGAUUAAUUAAAUAUUUAUAGGUAUAAGAUGGGCAUGCGUAUGAUUAGCUAGUUGGUAAGGUAACGGCUUACCAAGGCGACGAUCAUUAGGGGUUCUGAGAGGAAGGUCCCCCACACUGGUACUGAGACACGGACCAGACUCCUACGGGAGGCAGCAGUGAGGAAUAUUGGUCAAUGGGCGCAAGCCUGAACCAGCCAUGCCGCGUGCAAGGAAGACGGCCUUAUGGGUUGUAAACUGCUUUUACAUAAGACUAACCGUAUAUUUGCGAAUAUACCUGAAUGUAUUAUGAGAAUAAGGAUCGGCUAACUCCGUGCCAGCAGCCGC